rnacentral:rRNA from 1 species
GACGAACGCUGGCGGCGUGCUUAACACAUGCAAGUCGAACGGAAAGGCCCGGCUUUUGUGGGGUGCUCGAGUGGCGAACGGGGGAGUAACACGUGAGUAACCUGCCCUUGACUUUGGGAUAACUUCAGGAAACUGGGGCUAAUACCGGAUAGGAGCUCCUGCUGCAGGGUGGGGGUGGGAAAGUUUCGGCGGUUGGGGAUGGACUCGCGGCUUAUCAGCUUGUUGGUGGGGUAGUGGCUUACCAAGGCUUUGACGGGUAGCCGGCCUGAGAGGGUGACCGGCCACAUUGGGACUGAGAUACGGCCCAGACUCCUACGGGAGGCAGCAGUGGGGAAUAUUGCACAAUGGGCGGAAGCCUGAUGCAGCAACGCCGCGUGCGGGAUGACGGCCUUCGGGUUGUAAACCGCUUUCGCCUGUGACGAAGCGUGAGUGACGGUAAUGGGUAAAGAAGCACCGGCUAACUACGUG